rnacentral:rRNA from 1 species
UACGGGGGGGGCAAGCGUUGUUCGGAAUUACUGGGCGUAAAGGGCUCGUAGGCGGCCAACUAAGUCAUACGUGAAAUCCCUCGGCUUAACCGGGGAACUGCGUCUGAUACUGGAUGGCUUGAGUUCGGGAGAGGGAUGCGGAAUUCCAGGUGUAGCGGUGAAAUGCGUAGAUAUUGGGAGGAACACCGGUGGCGAAGGCGGCUCACUGGACCGGUACUGACGCUGAGACGCGAAAGCCAGGGGAGCAAACGGG